UUUUAGUAGCACGCUCAAGACCCGAAGCGGAGUGAUCUAGCCAUGGGCAGGUUGAAGCGGCUGUAAGAGGUCGUGGAGGACCGAACCCACCAGGGUUGAAAACCUGGGGGAUGACCUGUGGUUAGGGGUGAAAGGCCAAUCAAACUCCGUGAUAGCUGGUUCUCCCCGAAAUGCAUUUAGGUGCAGCGUCGUGUGUUUCUUGCCGGAGGUAGAGCACUGGAUAGGCGAUGGGCCCUACCGGGUUACUGACCUUAGCCAAACUCCGAAUGCCGGUAAGUGAGAGCGCGGCAGUGAGACUGUGGGGGAUAAGCUCCAUGGUCGAGAGGGAAACAGCCCAGAGCAUCGACUAAGGCCCCUAAGCGUACGCUAAGUGGGAAAGGAUGUGGAGUCGCACAGACAACCAGGAGGUUGGCUUAGAAGCAGCCACCCUUGAAAGAGUGCGUAAUAGCUCACUGGUCUAGUGAUUCCGCGCCGACAAUGUAGCGGGGCUCAAGCGUACCGCCGAAGUCGUGUCAUUGCAGCAAUACGGCCAACGCCGGCUGUGAUGGGUAGGGGAGCGUCGUGUGCCGGGUGAAGCAGCCGCGGAAGCGAGUUGUGGACGGUUCACGAGUGAGAAUGCAGGCAUGAGUAGCGAUACAAACGUGAGAAACGUUUGCGCCGAUUGACUAAGGGUUCCUGGGUCAAGCUGAUCUGCCCAGGGUAAGUCGGGACCUAAGGCGAGGCCGACAGGCGUAGUCGAUGGAUAACCGGUUGAUAUUCCGGUACCCGCUGUGAAGCGUCAAACAUCGAGCAUCGUGAUGCUAAGGCCGUGAAGCCGCCCUGAUCUCUUCGGAGUUGAGGGGAGUGGUGGAGCCGCCGAACCAAGCGGUUAGUAGGUGAGUGAUGGGGUGACGCAGGAAGGUAGUCCAUCCCGGGCGGUGGUUGUCCCGGGGUAAGGGUGUAGGCCGGUGUGUAGGUAAAUCCGCACACCUUGUGGCUGAGACCUGAUGCCGAGCCGAUUGUGGUGAAGUGGAUGAUCCUAUGCUGUCGAGAAAAGCCUCUAGCGAGUUUCAUGGCGGCCCGUACCCUAAACCGACUCAGGUGGUCAGGUAGAGAAUACCGAGGCGUUCGGGUGAACUAUGGUUAAGGAACUCGGCAAAAUGCCCCCGUAACUUCGGGAGAAGGGGGGCCACACCUGGUGACGAGUUUUGCACUCUGAGCUGGGGGUGGCCGCAGAGACCAGCGAGAAGCGACUGUUUACUAAAAACACAGGUCCGUGCGAAGCCGUAAGGCGAUGUAUACGGACUGACGCCUGCCCGGUGCUGGAACGUUAAGGGGACCGGUUAGUCACAUUUCGGUGUGGCGAAGCUGAGAACUUAAGCGCCAGUAAACGGCGGUGGUAACUAUAACCAUCCUAAGGUAGCGAAAUUCCUUGUCGGGUAAGUUCCGACCUGCACGAAUGGCGUAACGACUUCUCGACUGUCUCAACCAUAGGCCCGGUGAAAUUGCACUACGAGUAAAGAUGCUCGUUUCGCGCAGCAGGACGGAAAGACCCCGGGACCUUUACUACAGUUUGAUAUUGGUGUUCGGUUCGGCUUGUGUAGGAUAGCUGGGAGACUUUGAAGCUCGCACGCCAGUGUGGGUGGAGUCGUCGUUGAAAUACCAGUCUGGUCGUGCUGGAUGUCUAACCUGGGUCCGUGAUCCGGAUCAGGGACAGUGUCUGAUGGGUAGUUUAACUGGGGCGGUUGCCUCCUAAAGAGUAACGGAGGCGCCCAAAGGUUCCCUCAGCCUGGUUGGCAAUCAGGUGUUGAGUGUAAGUGCACAAGGGAGCUUGACUGUGAGACCGACGGGUCGAGCAGGGACGAAAGUCGGGACUAGUGAUCCGGCGGUGGCUUGUGGAAGCGCCGUCGCUCAACGGAUAAAAGGUACCCCGGGGAUAACAGGCUGAUCUUCCCCAAGAGUCCAUAUCGACGGGAUGGUUUGGCACCUCGAUGUCGGCUCGUCGCAUCCUGGGGCUGGAGUCGGUCCCAAGGGUUGGGCUGUUCGCCCAUUAAAGCGGUACGCGAGCUGGGUUUAGAACGUCGUGAGACAGUUCGGUCCCUAUCCGCUGUGCGCGUAGGAGUCUUGAGAAGGGCUGUCCCUAGUACGAGAGGACCGGGACGGACGAACCUCUGGUGUGCCAGUUGUCCUGCCAAGGGCAUGGCUGGUUGGCUACGUUCGGGAGGGAUAACCGCUGAAAGCAUCUAAGCGGGAAGCCUGCUUCGAGAUGAGGACUCCCACCCCCUUGAGGGGUUAAGGCUCCCAGUAGACGACUGGGUUGAUAGGCCGGAUCUGGAAGCACCGUGAGGUGUGGAGGUGACCGGUACUAAUAGGCCGAGGGCUUGUCCUCAGUUG
rnacentral:rRNA from 1 species